UCAAAAUAUCUUUAAUAUUUUCAUAUUUCCUAUAGUUUUCCGACUGCCUUUCUUUCUCUUCUUAGGUUUAUUUCUCAGUGUAUAUAUUUAAAGAUAAUGUCAUGGUGAAGGUGGCUACACAGCCAGCUGAUAACCCAAUGUCAUUUGUAGCUGACAAAAUAGGAUCAACAACCUAUGAAGAAGUUCCUCAAUCUAAGCAUCUUUCUUUGCCAGGAAAAUUGGUAUUUCCAAGUUACAGUGAUAGAGGAAGAAUGUCAAUGCUAGGACUUGGAGAUAUUGUGAGUUUUAUAAAUUAGGCCACC